CAAUCAGUGGAAGAGGCAGCAGUGCGAUUUUUCAAAAUCGCGUCGCGGUGUGACUUUACAAGGAAUUUAUCAAAAGUUUUCGAAGCCUUUAGAAAUCCGUUGAGUGUCUGUGCUUGUGAAAUAAAGCUCAAACAGCCGUUCGACGGCUGUUUGUUAGGGAUUAUUGUCCCAGGUAGACACUCCAUGGAAGCUCGGCGCAUCGCACUCAAUCGGCUGGACGCACUUCUGACCCCAUGGUUGGAGUCCAAGUUUCCCGACAAGGCUAUUUCCGUCGGAAGGAAGUGCUACGUCACUACAGCACUCCGGACAGAGCAAGCAGAGCGAUAAAGUUUACGCUUAAGAGAAUGGAGACGCACAUGGCACGUAAUGGUUAGGGA